ensembl:lncRNA
GUGAGCUGUGGUGUAGGUCACAGUCGCGGCUUGGAUCCUGGGUUGCUAUGGCUGUGGUGUAUGUUGGCAGCUACAGCUCCUAUUCAACCCUUAGCCUGUGAACUUCCAUAUGCUGCAGGUGCAGUCCUAAAAAGACAAAAAUAAAUAAAUUAGUUAAAAUUUUAAAAAUAAAAUGAGACGUCACAUUUUAUUAUAAAAAAAAAAUGCCUAAGUAUCCCUGAUAAUUUAAAAACUAGGGACAAAUCCAGCACCAGAAACUAGGGUUCCAAAGUUCUAAUUUAUUGUUCUUUCAGGUAUAUAUUUCUUUAUAAACUAUUGGAUGUUUUUCAAAAAAAAAAAAACAAAUGGAAUCAAUGAAAUACGUAGUGUGUCAAGUUAAACGAGACUUUUCAGGUUUGUUUUUUAAUGACCAUACUCAUGGCAUAUGAAAGUUUCCAGGCUAGUGGUCAAAUUAAAACUUCAGCUGAGGCCUAGGCCACAGCCACAGCCACACCAGAUCCAACCUAUGCCGCAGCUUGCAACAAAGCAGGGUCCUUAACCCACUGAGUGAAGCCAGGGAUCGAAGCCAUAUCCACAUGGGGGUUGCAUGGGGUCCUUAACUAGCUGAGCCACAGUGGAACUCCUCAGUGGUCAUUUUAAAUUGUUUGCUCGAAAGCAGUGAAACAAUUUUAGUUCAUAUAGGUGGUCUAGUUCUAGUAGGUUACUUCUUGUAAGGCCAGGUUCUCCUUUUGAUCUGUUCACUUCCAGGCCAUACCACGUCCACCAUUCCCAGUUACAUUAUUAGCAUUUAGAACCCCCUGAUGGUCAGUUAAUUUUUUAAACAAUCACUGUAAAAAUGGUACUGGAGUUCUCAUUGUGGUGCAGUGGGAUUGGCAGUGUCUCUGCAGUGCCAGGACUCAGGUUCUUCCCUGGCCAGGUCCAGUUGGGUUAUAGGAUCCAGUAUUGCUGCAGCUGUGGCAUAGGUCACAACUGUGGCUAGGAUCUGAUCCCUGGCCCGAAAACUGCAUAUGCCACAAGGCAACCAAAAACGAAGAAAAAUGGUGCUAAAUAUUGUUUUACUUUUAAAUAUUAAUUGUUUUGAUAAUGAUCUUUUGGGGAUAUUUAUUUUAGCACAUUAAGACAAGGCCGUGUACCCUAAGACAUUACAGUUUUUUUCAAAUUGAAAUGUCAGAAAGGUCCAUAAUGAAAAUAAUUUCGAAGCAAAUUCUUUCUUUAAGUUUUUUGAGGGAAAUUAGAUCAUGGGUCUCUCAGCUUUUCUUAAUGACCAUGAUAAUAAAUAUUUUAGGUUUCUGCGCACCAUGAUUUCAAUUCUGUUGGUGCAGUAAGAAACCACCUACAGCCAAUGUAAAUGAAUGAGCUGGCUGUGUUUCAAUGAAACUUUAUUUAGAAAAAUAAGUAGAUGACCCAUAGAUCAUAGUGUACUGCCCCUGAGUUAGAUGAUAGUAAAAUUUUAGUUUUACUGAUCAAAUUAAGACACAUUCCUUGUAGAAAUAUACUUAAAACUUAUAAGUAAUUGCUAAUAAAGGAAUUAAAGAUUUCUAGGCAACCAGAAGACUUAAAACAUUUUCCCCCAUAUGGGUCUUGUACAAGUUAAUUAUUUUUUUCUCUUUUUCAUUACAUUCAUAAUUAGUGUUUGAGGAUCAUGACAAGACAGAGAGAGAGAUAUUAAUACGAUAAUUAGAAUAAAGAUCACAUAUCCAUAGUUCCUCACUUAAAAUUUCUUUCUUUGCAAGGUGACAAUUUUCAAGCUAUAUAUCUUUGCCACUUAGUUAAAUGAAUUGAAUAAUGACUACUACUUCCCUGAUCAAGUUUUAUUAAUCAACAUCCGUAAAUUAUCCAGAAACUAUUAGAUAAAAGAAACUAUUACAUUCAUAAAAUUUUAUUUUUUUAUAAUUUCACCAAUUUCAAUUGAGUGUAUUUAUUUUAGAAACUGAAUUACAUUUUCCAGAGCAUUACAGUGCAGCAUAUACCUGUGGGGGGGAAAAGAGAGAGGGAAAAAAAAAGGGGGUCUUGCAUAGUUGGCUUGGUUUAGAUUACUCACAGGUGAGCUGGUGGUAGAAAUGGUAAUGGAAUCUCUCUAUGAUUAUCUGCUCCUUUCAACUAUACCUAAGUAAAACAAAACAAAAGUCUUAUGACAUAGCUAAAGGAAAAAAUGAAAAACUCUUUCCAUUGAGGCAAGGUUUUAAAUAAGCAUGACAAAAAUGACUCAGAUCUGGAUCUCUGAAAAUCAAGCUGGCUGCUAUUUUUUACGUUUGAUUUCUUCAUAAUAAACUACCAUCAUUUAUUAAAAAUUCAUUUUGCUAGUGAAGAGUUUUGAUUACUUCAAAAGUUUUUUUUCCAGUAGUUCCCAUUGUGGUUCAGCAGGUUAAGAACCUGAUGUAGUCUCCCUGAGGAUACGGGUUCGAUCCCUGGCCUCACUCAGUGGGUUAAGUAUCCGGCAUUGCCGCAAGUUGUGGCAUAGGUCACAGAUGCAGCUCAGAUAUGGCAUUGCUGUGACUGUGAUGCAGGCCUGAAGCUGCAGCUCUGAUUUGACCCUAGCCCAGGAAUUUCCAUAUGCCAGAGGUGCAGCCAUAAAAAGAAAAAAAGUGUUUGUUUCCAGAUAGAAAACUAGGAGUGGGAGAAGAGAAAGAUUUUUUUUUUUUUAAUGAAAGUAUUUUAAAAAUAGAAAUAGGACUACCAAUUGAAAGAAAGCUUAGUUCUAAACACCAAGCUAGGGAUAUUGUCUGUUUUAGAAGGCACCGGAGUCACUUAUUCUUGCUGCAUUUGCAAACUGGAAAAAAAAAAAAUCAGCUGACAUUAUGAUACGGGUGUCAGUUUUAAUGAGGCUCAGUUAGAAUAACAAACUGUUUGUGUACUAGAAUGGCAAACUGCCCAUAUAAACUGCUUAGAUAUGCAGAUUAAAAAUUUCCUGUUACUGGAUUGUCUAAAUAUCACUUUUUACCUGUCAGUUGUGUGGUUACAAUGGCUGGGUUAGGGUACAUAAUCCAAUGAGAGCCAAUGACAUAUAAAGGAAUGGGUGAGUAGAAAAAAGUUGACCCUUCCUUCUGCCAGAAAAGAUCAUUUCCUUCCUUUAGAAGGUUUAGUGUGAAAAUGUGAGCCUUAGAUCAGUCAGAGGAGAGCACAGAGGGGCUGCAUAUGACAGAGAUAGGGAAGCCACAACUUGGAGCCUGAGGACAUUUUGAACAUGUAACAGAGAAUGAGAGGAACCAGGUCGUUGAUGAUAGCAUUUGAGCUACUGAAUCAAAGUUACCUGAAGCUAAACCCUGCCAUUCCUUUGCAGCAUAAAACUCCCUAAGAAGUACACAAGAAAUUAAGUGCAGGGCGGAACUUUUUUUUUUUUUUUUUUUUGGAGGUUUUAAUUACACAAGUCCCAAGAGCUAAGGCCUGAAGUAAAUACCAAGGUUCCCUCAGAGGAGCUGCAAAUUUAGGGAAAAGGGACAAAGGACAGGGUCAGGGAAUCAGAACUCAUAUUUUGUUGCAUGGCCCUGUCCUGGAAUUGUUUUUACUUUGGAGAGCUUCGAAAAGCAUACAUAUUUCAUUGGAUCAUUUCAGAUCUUUACCCCUCAAAGCAUAAUCAUGGUUUUAGUUUACAAUAUAGAUUCAUGGGGAUUAAAUAUCUCUAGAGUAUUUAGAUUCCUUAUCUAAUUAGAACAAAAUGGAAAAAGCACAAAUUUUAGAGUCAUGUGGACCUGGGAUCAAAUUCUAGCUCCAACGUAAUUACUAACUCUGCAACCCUGUGCAAGUUACUUUGUCUCACUUAAGCCAACCUCAUAUGUGAAAUAGUGAUGACAAUACUUACUAUGCAGGUAUUUUGAUAGUAUUAAAUGAAGGCAAUAUUUAGGUAAAGCACAGGAGCUACCAAAACUCAAUCUUUAUCACCAGUAUUAAGUGUUUUUAUUUCUCUUUUAUAUUUUCUCUAGACAUGAUUCCUGUAAAUAUCAUGUCCCAUGACUGCUAGAGAAAGAAUCUAGUAACAUUCAUUCUUUUUUUUUAAUUAAAUGAAAGAUUCUUUCAAUUCUGUAGUGCUUCACAAUCUUCAAAAGUUUCACACAUGUGAUUUCUUAUAAUCCCACAAUCCUUUUCCCCCCUAUCCAAAUACUGCCCAUCCACCAUUCCCUCUCUCCACUGGUAACUACUAGUUGGUUCUCUGUGAACCUACUUCUUUUUUGUUUUAUUCACUAGCUUGUUGCAUUUUUUAGAUUCCACAUGUAAGUGACAUCACACAACAUUAGUCUUUGAUGAUUUAUUUCACUUAACACAGUGCCCUCCCAAACCAAUCCAUGUUGUUGCAAAUGGCAAAUUUUUGUUCUUUUUAUGGCUGAGUAGUAUUCCAUUGUGUGUGUGUUUAUGUAUAUAUACCACAUCUUCUUUAUCCAUUCAUCUUUUGACAGAUAUUUAGGUUGCUUCCAUGUUUGGAAGCAUUAUAAAUAAUGCUGCUAUGAACAUUGAGGUGUAGGUAUCUUUUUGAAUUGAUUGUUUUGGUUUUGGGGAGUAUAUACCCAGAAGUAGAAUAGCUAGAUUGUAUGGUAGUUCUAUAUUUUUACUUUUUUGAGAAACCUCCAUACUUUUUUCCACAGUGGCUACACCAAUUCACAUUCCCACCAAUGGGGUACAAGGGUUUCCUUUUCUCUAUAUCCUCACCAGUGUUUACUACUUGUGUUCUUUUAGAUGAUAGUCGUUCUGACCUGAGUAAGGUGCUGUUUCAUUGUGAUUUUGAUUUUAAUUUUCCUGAUAAUUAGGAGUGUCGAACGUCUUUUCAUGUGCCUGUUGGCCAUCUAUUCAUUCUUUACCAAGUAGAAAAUGUUUAUGAUUACUAUAAUCUGGGGGAAGAUUUGGAGAGAAGCAGAUACACUGCUGCUGGCUUUCUCCAGUUCCUAUCCUGAGCCUCCAAUGAUGUAAAAUGGUGUCAUUGUUUUUCAUGAAUGAACAUUUAGCUGUUCCAAAUUAUGUCCCAUAUAUUUAAUGAACAGAGAUAUCAAAGAAAUAAUAUAUGACUUUUUUUACAAAUAAGUUCCAACAUGUUAGUAAUUGUGUAUUUGUGCUAUUAUCUCUUCCCCACCUUUGCUGCACCUGUGUCAAACCUUUCUAAUCCAUCAUUUCUCUGAAUUACAACAUGAUGCUUCAGGAUGUUAGUACCAAAAGAUCAGAAAUGAAAAUAGUGUUAAAACCUACUUAAUACUCGUUCUUAAGUGUAUCCCUAUGUUUAUCACAUAAGUAUAUAUGAAUUUUAUGUAAUGCCAUACAUAUUUUCUAUAUGGACUGAGUUACACUUUGAAAUUAGCAAUACUAGGUUAAAAUAAUUAGUCACAUGUAUAUUUAUAUCAUGUAGUUAUUGAAAUUACACAGCAAUUUACUCCAUAACUCCAGAAACCAUGAGAUGGUUCAUAUCUCUAUUUCCUGAUGCCCAUUAUGCAGAUUAAAUCAAACAUCAAUUUCACACAGCAUACUAGAUCAAUUCAGAAAUAGCCACACCAAUUUGUAGGGUCAGUAAUUCAGGCCUGAAAAGUCAAAGUGAGUUUAGAGAUUAAGAAGUCAUCAACUACACAGCUUCGUAUUAUCAGGUGCUGCUAACAUGGUAAUGACACAUACAUUAGUGAUUCUCUAAGUAAAUAUUUAUAGCUCAGACAGUUGCCAUCAAGAAAGGGAUGUUAUGGUGUUCCUGCCGUGGCUCAGUCAUAACGAACCUGACUAGUAUCCAUGAGGAUGCGGGUUCAAUCUCUGGCUUUGCUCAGUGAGUUGAGGAUCAAGUGUUGCCUGCUGUGAGCUCUGGGGUAGGUCACAGACACAGCUCGGAUCUAGUGUUGCUGUGGCUGUGGCAUAGUCUGGCACCUGCAUCUCCAAUUCGACCCCUGGCUGGGAACUUCCAUAUGCCACAGGUAUAACCCUAAAAAAAAAAA